UAAGCAUGACAUCAAUUGGUCUUCUCCCUCUCUCUCUCCUCUAAACUAAGAGCCUUUCUCUCUCUCCACGUAAGUUCAUCUCUCCCUCUUUUUCAUGUCAAUUUCAAUCAUGAGCAUAAUAGUUUCAAUGAUUUCAUCAAAUCAUCUCAUUAUUUUGAGUCUCCUUCUCUUGGGCUAGAAGAACAAGCGAUCCGCCAUUGCAGCUAACUCCAAUUUUUGACGAGAUUCAUUACAUCUGCAAGGCUAUGGACAUCUUAUGGCAGCAUAUGUGGAGGAUGUCUAAUGAUACCGUAGACAGUUUGGCGAAAGAGGGAGCUAGAAGCCAUAGUCAAGUCACUCAAGCCGGGUCCACAUUCUUUUUUCUGCAAGACCAGUGGAACCUAACCAGUACCUGAACCUUUUGUGUUUAGAUACCCUUUUUGGUUAUUGGUCUUUUGUAUCUUUACUGUAAAUGGGCACUCUUUUAAGCCUUUUCUUCCUUUUCCUGCUACUUCCUUGUAAACUUUGUAAGGGGGCAUUGUUCAUAUGCCCAUUUUUUGUUACAGGGUCUAUUUGACCUAUUUUUUACCAAGAGUCCCAUCUAGAGGGUACUCCAUCUAGAGGGUACUCUUGGAUCAAUCCCUAACUGUAAUCUUUCUCCAUAUAGCAAUACAAAAGUCUAACUUUUCUAGAAAAAAAUCAUCUCAUUAUUUUAAUGAUUUUCAUUAUCAUCUCCUCCUCAUCAUCCAAGGUUGUUAUUAUCAUCUCAUUAUUUUAAUAAUUUUCAUUCUCAUCUUCUCCCUCAUCA
rnacentral:lncRNA from 1 species